rnacentral:rRNA from 1 species
ACGGAAGGCAGCAGUGGAGAAUCUUGCACAAUGGGCGAAAGCCUGAUGCAGCAACGCCGCGUGAAGGAUGAAGGCCCUUGGGUCGUAAACUUCUUUUCUAAGGGAAGAUAAUGACGGUACCUUAGGAACAAGUCCCGGCUAACUACGUGCCAGCAGCCGCGGUAAUACGUAGGGGGCGAGCGUUAUCCGGAAUUAUUGGGCGUAAAGAGUACGUAGGUGGUUUCCUAAGCAUGGGGUUUAAGGCAAUAGCUUAACUAUUGUUCGCCCCAUGAACUGGGUUACUUGAGUGCAGGAGAGGAAAGCGGAAUUCCUAGUGUAGCGGUGAAAUGCGUAGAUAUUAGGAGGAACACCAGUGGCGAAGGCGGCUUUCUGGACUGUAACUGACACUGAGGUACGAAAGUGUGGGGAGCAAACAGGAUUAGAUACCCUGGUA